rnacentral:lncRNA from 1 species
UUUGAAUGUUAGGUUUUUUUUAAUUUGAGAAAUUUAGGAUUUAGGGUAUGACCGAGGGUUGUGUAUGCGUGUUCGGUUUUGAUGCUCAUAGGGGAGUUAGACUGUUUUUCUUCUGAGAUCUGGGUUUUUUUGAACGCUGAACUUCAUGAGCGAUGAACAUCAUAAAAAGUCAUUGUGAGCUCGUACUAGGGGAUUAGAAGAAAUCGUUCAUUUUUUGUGUGUGUUCUUUGAGAA